rnacentral:rRNA from 1 species
GAUGAACGCUGGCUGUGUGCCUAAUACAUGCAUGUCGAGCGGAAGUAGCAAUACUUUAGCGGCGAAUGGGUGAGUAACACGUGCUUAAUCUACCUCUUAGAUUGGAAUACCUAAUGGAAACAUUGGUUAAUGCCGGAUACGCAUGGAGUCGCAUGACUCCGUUGUGAAAGGGGCCUUUAAAGCUCCACUAAGAGAUGAGGGUGCGGAACAUUAGCUAGUUGGUGAGGUAACGGCCCACCAAGGCUAUGAUGUUUAGCCGGGUCGAGAGACUGAACGGCCACAUUGGGACUGAGAUACGGCCCAAACUCCUACGGGAGGCAGCAGUAGGGAAUAUUCCACAAUGAGCGAAAGCUUGAUGGAGCGACACAGCGUGCACGAUGAAGGUCUUAUGGAUUGUAAAGUGCUGUUGCAAGGGAAGAAAAAGUAGUUGAGGAAAUGCUUCUACAUUGACGGUACCUUGUUAGAAAGCGAUGGCUAACUAUGUGCCAGCAGCCGCGGUAAUACAUAGGUCGCAAGCGUUAUCCGGAAUUAUUGGGCGUAAAGCGUUCGUAGGCUGUUUAUUAAGUCUGGAGUCAAAUCCCAGGGCUCAACCCUGGCUCGCUUUGGAUACUGGUAAACUAGAGUUGGAUAGAGGUAAGCGGAAUUCCAUGUGAAGCGGUGAAAUGCGUAGAUAUAUGGAAGAACACCAAAGGCGAAGGCAGCUUACUGGGUUUAUACUGACGCUGAGGAACGAAAGCGUGGGGAGCAAACAGG